rnacentral:rRNA from 1 species
GACGUAGGGCGCGAGCGUUGUCCGGAUUUAUUGGGCGUAAAGAGCUCGUAGGCGGCUUGUCGCGUCGUCCGUGAAAACCCACAGCUCAACUGUGGGCUUGCGGUCGAUACGGGCAGGCUAGAGUUCGGUAGGGGAGACUGGAAUUCCUGGUGUAGCGGUGAAAUGCGCAGAUAUCGGGAGGAACACCAGUGGCGAAGGCGAGUCUCUGGGAUGAUGCUGACGCUGAGGCGCGAAAGCCAGGGGAGCAAACGGG